rnacentral:rRNA from 1 species
ACGAACGCUGGCGGCGUGCUUAACACAUGCAAGUCGAACGGUGAAGGGACCAGCUUGCUGGUUCUGGAUGAGUGGCGAACGGGUGAGUAACACGUGAGUAACCUGCCCCCUUCUCCUGGAUAACCGCAUGAAAGUGUGGCUAAUACGGGAUAUUCUGCGCCUGCUGCAUGGUGGGUGUGGGAAAGAUAUUGUUUCGGUGGGGGAUGGGCUCGCGGCCUAUCAGCUUGUUGGUGGGGUGAUGGCCUACCAAGGCGGUGACGGGUAGCCGGCCUGAGAGGGUGGACGGUCACACUGGGACUGAGACACGGCCCAGACUCCUACGGGAGGCAGCAGUGGGGAAUAUUGCACAAUGGGCGCAAGCCUGAUGCAGCGACGCCGCGUGAGGGAUGGAGGCCUUCGGGUUGUAAACCUCUUUCGCCAGUGAAGCAGGCCUGUCCCUUUUGUGGGUGGGUUGACGGUAGCUGGAUAAAAAGCGCCGGCUAACUACGUGC